rnacentral:rRNA from 1 species
UAGAGUUUGAUUCCUGGCUCAGGAUGAACGCUGGCGGCGUGCUUAACACAUGCAAGUCGAACGAACCUUCGGGUUAGUGACGGACGGGUGAAUAACGCGUGAGAAUCUGCCCUCAGGAGGGGGAUAACGGCUGGAAACGGCCGCUAAUACCCCAUAUGCCGAGAGGUGAAACGAAUUUCGCCUGAGGAUGAGCUCGCGUCUGAUUAGCUAGUUGGUAAGGUAAGAGCUUACCAAGGCAUCGAUCAGUAGCUGGUCUGAGAGGAUGAUCAGCCACACUGGGACUGAGACACGGCCCAGACUCCUACGGGAGGCAGCAGUGGGGAAUUUUCCGCAAUGGGCGAAAGCCUGACGGAGCAACGCCGCGUGAGGGAUGAAGGCCUCUGGGCUUGUAAACCUCUUUUCUCAAGGAAGAAGACAUGACGGACUGAGGAAAGC